rnacentral:lncRNA from 1 species
AUGACCUUUGGUUAAAAUUCAUAUCUAUACAUCAUAAAGCCAUAGGAACUGACAUUUUAGACUGAUUUUUAAUAUUUUAAUAUCAAAAUAGAUAUUUACUGGUGGAAAGACCUUCAAUUGUUCUCUGAACAAUUGGUUUUUAAUUAUUAUUAUUAUUUUUUUUUUUUUUUUUUUUUUCUUCCGCCAAAUUUUGUUCUUGCGAUAAAUGUUUGUUUCGCAAUAUGUCGCUUAGAUAUUUCUCAUAUGGUAUCGUAUAGUUUAUGCGCUUUUAAAUUUCACCCUGCUAAGGCGAACCAUUUUCUUUGUAAGAGUUAUCUCCCCUUUCACUGUUUAUCAUCAGAGUGCAUCUCCUCCGUAACCGUAGAAAAAUGCGACAAAUUUAUUUUAUAAAAUUGCUCGUUAUAUCCUUCGCAUGAUUUGUCCUAUUUUAACCGAAGCGAUAUGAACACUCCUUAUGAGAGUUAUUCCCCCUUUUGCAUUUGAUAUUAGUAAUAUGCAUUUCUAACUGGUAAACCAUAGGUAAUAGAGACCUAGGGUCUUUUGAUUUAAGGUCCUUGGUCCAAAAAAAUGAAAAUUAGGUCAAGGUCAAAGGUCAAGGUCAUAUUCUAAAUUUUGAUUUUGGCUUAUUUUCACUCAUUUUCAUUAACCUUAUCAGAUAUCGACAAAUUAUUUUUACUAAAUUGUUAGUUGCGACAUGUCGUAACAUAAUAAUUUUGGUUGAAAGGGUGCGUAGACAAUAAAUGGGAGUUUUAGCCCCUACCACAUCUAAAAUUAUGCGUAAAGUGAUAUUACUUAUUAACCAUACAUAUUAGAGACCUAGGGUCUUUUGAUUUGAGACCCUCAGUUUGUGACCUUGAAAUUGAGGUCAAGGUCAUAGGUAAAUUUGGCGUUUUAGAUUAUGACCUUUGGUUAAAAUUCAUAUCUAUACAUCAUUAAGCCAUAGGAACUGACAUUUUAGACUGAUUUUUAAUAUUUUAAUAUCAAAAUAGAUAUUUACUGGUGGAAAGACCUUCAAUUGUUCUCUGAACAAUUGGUUUUUAAUUAUUAUUUUUUUUUUUUUUUUUUUUCUUCCGCCAAAUUUUGUUCUUGCGAUAAAUGUUUGUUUCACAAUAUGUCGCUUAGAUAUUUCUCAUAUGGUAUCGUAUAGUUUAUGCGCUUUUAAAUUUCACCCUGCUUAGGCGAACCAUUUUCUUUGUAAGAGUUAUCUCCCCUUUCACUGUUUAUCAUCAGAGUGUAUCUCCUCCGUAACCGUAGAAAAAUGCGACAAAUUUAUUUUAUAAAAUUGUUCGUUAUAUCCUUCGCAUGAUUUGUCCUAUUUUAACCGAAGCGAUAUGAACACUCCAUAUGAGAGUUAUUCCCCCUUUUGCAUUUGAUAUUAGUAAUAUGCAUUUCUAACUGGUAAACCAUAGGUAAUAGAGACCUAGGGUCUUUUGAUUUAAGGUCCUUGGUCCAAAAAGAUGAAAAUUAGGUCAAGGUCAAAGGUCAAGGUCAUAUUAUAAAUUUUGAUUUUUGCUUAUUUUCACUUUUCUUCAAAAACCGUAUAACAUAUCGACAUGCUAUUUUUACUGAAUUGUUAGUAACGACAUGUCGUAACUUCAUAAUUUUGGUUGAAAGGGUGCGUAGUCAAUAAAUGGGAGUUUUUAGCCCCUUUCAUAUCUAAAAUUAUGCGUAAAGUGAUAUAACUCAUUAUCCAUGCAUAUUAGAGACCUCGGGUCUUUUGAUUGGAGGUCCUUGGUUUGUGACCUUGAAAAUAAGGUCAAGGUCAUAGACAAAUUUGACGUUCUAGAUUAUGACCUUUACUUAAAAUUCAUAUCUAUACAUCAUAAAGCCAUAGGAACUGACAUUUUAGACUGAUUUUUAAUAUUUUAAU